AGUGAACGCUGGCGGCGUGCCUAAUACAUGCAAGUCGAACGGAGUGGCGCACGGGUGAGUAAUAUAUAGCUAAUCUGCCCCUUGCUGGAGGACAACAGUUAGAAAUGACUGCUAAUACUCCAUAGAAAUGGAUGAGACUAUAUCGUAUAAGCUAGUCGGUGGGGUGACGGCCUACCGAGGCUAUGACGCGUAACUGGUCUGAGAGGAUGAUCAGGCACAGUGGAACGGAGACACGGGUGAAACUCCUACGGGAGGCAGAAGUAGUGAAGAUGGUGCAAGGGGGGAAACCCUGACGAAGCAACGCCGCGUGGAGGAUGACACUUUUCGGAGCAUAAACUCCUUUUGUUAGGGAAGCGGUACCUAACGAAUAAGCACCGGCUAACUCCGUGCCAGCCGCCGCGGUAAUUC
rnacentral:rRNA from 1 species